UGGUUUACAGGAACAGAUCGAUUGACAGA
rnacentral:piRNA from 1 species